GCAGCCUGACGGUGUUCUCCACCUCGGAGAAAAUCUCCUCCGCGGCAGCAGCGAGUCUCUCCCUGAUGAACUCUCUCAGAGGCUGAACGGAACACAUUGCUGCUGAAAGCGCCAGAAUCUCUGAUCCUGAUUCACAUCUGGUGUCGCUCCACUUCUCCUGUUUCUGAGUUUUGCAACAAGUGAGUCACAGCAAAGCCGUUAGCCGGGGGCAACGUUGAGCUGAUGCUUCCAGUAGCAGGAGCUGCGCCAAGAAGCUAACAGAAGCUAGCAGAAACUAAGGGAAGCUAACAGAAACUAAGGGAAGCUAACAGAAGCUAACAGAAACUAACAGAAACUAAGGGAAGCUAACAGAAACUACGGGAAGCUAGCAGAAACUAACAGAAACUAAGGGAAGCUAACAGAAACUACGGGAAGCUAACAGAAGCUAGCAGAAACUAAGGGAAGCUAACAGAAACUAAGGGAAGCUAACAGAAACUACGGGAAGCUAACAGAAGCUAACAGAAACUAAGGGAAGCUAACAGAAGCUAAGUGAAGCUAACAGAAACAAAGGGAAGCUAACAGAAACUAAGGGAAGCUAACAGAAGCUAACAGAAACUAAGGGAAGCUAACAGAAACUAAGGGAAGCUAACAGAAACUACGGGAAGCUAACAGAAACUAAGGGAAGUUAACAGAAGCUAAAAGAAACUAAGGGAAGCUAACAGAAGCUAAGGGACGCUAACAGAAACUACGGGAAGCUAACAGAAGCUAACAGAAACUAAGGGAAGCUAACAGAAGCUAAGUGAAGCUAACAGAAACAAAGGGAAGCUAACAGAAACUAAGGGAAGCUAACAGAAGCUAACAGAAACUAAGGGAAGCUAACAGAAACUAAGGGAAGCUAAUAGAAAUUAAGGGAAGCUAACAGAAGCUAACACAAACUAAGGGAAGCUAACAGAAUCUAACAGAAACUAAGAGAA